UUGGCCUGUACCUGUGUGAAUUUCAAGCAAAAAACAAUGCACUACAGAAAAAAGUUGUUUUAAAGCUGGCAGACAAUAAAAGUACAGUUGCCAAAGAUGUAUACAGAGAACAAAGCACAUUUAAAGAUGAUGCGUCCAAAACAUAUGUAUCAGUUACAUCCAAGACUAACAAUGCUGAUCCAACAACACUGCUGAAUGAUAUAAGUACACAAAGUAAACAGGGGUUGCACUCGGAAAUAUCAGCAGGCAUACCAGUUCAUCCAGUAUUAAUUUACGUCAUCGUGUGUAUCAGUUGCAUAUGUUUUCUGUGUUUGCUACAAACGGCAAGAUAUACUUUUUAUAAAUGCAAACAUAGCUGAUGAUUUAUAGAUACCUUCAGAAACCAGUUUAAAAAAUGAACAUUUGCAGAACACUUUUAGUUACUUAUACUAUUUUUGAAAAAUGAAUAUCUGUUGUUUAUAUCACGAAUAUGUUUUGAACUGAGCCUUGUAUUUAUUGUAUCUUCGUUAAUAAGGAUGUAAAAGGAUGGAUAUGUUUGUCUUUCAACUACGCUUACUUU